rnacentral:lncRNA from 1 species
UCAAGGUUUGGAUUGGUUUGUAGAGAUAACUGGGUGAAGAAUAUUACAUAACCAGAAGUGGGGGAAACUAAACUAAACGAGUCUCAAAGGGAUUGAGAGUGUUUAGGGAUAUCAGGAAUGGUGAAUAAUACUAUGCUAAUUAGGAGUGAGUUAUACUCAAUUGUACUUCAUUGAAUAUUUAACGGAACCCUUUAAGUUAAUUUAGAGGAGAACUGGAUGUAGCCCUAAUAAGGGAACCAGUAUAAAACAUCUUGUGUGUUUUCUUCUAUUGAUAGACGAUGUAGUUGUUAAGCUUUUUAAAGCUUACUCUCGCAUACACUUGUCUACUAUUUACUCUUCAACUAGGAUGCAUAAAGUUGGUUAAGUAAACGAUUUUGCUAAGACAGUGUUUAUCAACCAAAUGAAAGUAUCCUACAAAUAUAACGUAUAUCAUAAUCAGAUCGUAAGUUGCGAAAAGUUUGGAAGCAUUAUUCAACCCCUUCCUCCUCUCCCCUCCCUCCUAAGUGUUUCCUCACACCUUCAACUGACUCCUUAUUUUAGAAAAUUUACUUACAAUAUAACC